rnacentral:lncRNA from 1 species
CUACGGCGUGAGCUAUUGUUUCUCGGGAAUCAUUUUACCUUCGGCAACAGUACAUUGGAAAGCACGUGAACGCAGUUAAAAGUGGAAAAGGGUACAACUUCGAGGCUGUAAAGGAUGACCUGCCAGCAGGAGGAUAAUGCGAAUUUUUUCAUAGAAAGCAGCUGCAGGCGAAGUGCUGCCGAAAAGAAAGGUAUUUUGUGGAAGCUCACUUGCUUUUUGACGAUGUCAUUUUUCAGCACAUUCAGGCUGAGCCGUGGAAAGUGACCGCCAAAGGAGCACCGCACGGCAACUUCAAUAUGAGCACAGUGGCGGUUUCAAAUCUUUUACUUCUAGUUCUCACAAAUGCGAUUGCGCUGACCGUUAGAGCGGCAGAAAUCCCUGCACCUAACUUGCCAGUGACAAGCGGUGGUGAGCCAAGUAGUGCUCGGGGGAGCAAUUCGGUGCUGCCAGGCCUUCCAAAACCCGGUAUGACCGGUAAUGAGCUGCCGCCAGGAGGUGGUUUACCAAGUUCUGCUCGGAAUGUCUGUGGAAAAUUCCAAAAAUACGAGAGCUGCAGUGGGCGCAAGAAAAGGAAUUGCGGAGAGAGAAACUGCAAGAAUCGGUUCAAGCUGCGUCGACAGUGUAACAGAAAAUGUGUACCCGGGUGCUACUGUCGUAGCGGCCUUUAUCGAAACGAUGACGGCCGCUGUGUUAGCUUCUUCAAAUGUGGAAGCUGGAUCAAGUCCUU